rnacentral:rRNA from 1 species
UACGAAGGGGGCUAGCGUUGCUCGGAAUCACUGGGCGUAAAGCGCACGUAGGCGGCUUCUUAAGUCAGGGGUGAAAUCCUGGAGCUCAACUCCAGAACUGCCUUUGAUACUGAGGAGCUCGAGUCCGGGAGAGGUGAGUGGAACUCCGAGUGUAGAGGUGAAAUUCGUAGAUAUUCGGAAGAACACCAGUGGCGAAGGCGGCUCACUGGCCCGGUACUGACGCUGAGGCGCGAAAGCUAGGGGAGCAAACGGG